ACCCCCAAUUGAAUACUCAGUCUGUAUACUGCCGUCGUAAGUAAACCUCUCAAAGAUAGUUUACCACUAACACAAAUCGUUAUACGUCAGGUCAUAGUGCAGCUCAUAAGGGGGAGGUAUAGUGGGUUACAACCUAAACAAAGAACACGAAUAUAUGACUUAACUAUCAUAAAGAAGGUGGACUUAACUGUAAUUUUUAAUAAUAAAAUGAACAAGAAUCUAAGACAUGCACACAUCGCCCGUCACUCCCCCCUUAAGGGGGGAUAAGUCGUAACAAAGUAGGUGUAGCGGAAGCUGUACCUGUCGAAGUAUAGCAUAUUUAAUAAUGCCUUUUACUUACAAUAAAAAUAAAGCCCAGGCUUACUUCGCAGACCAUCUAUAUCUUAUAACUUUUAAUUAUUGAAAUAUAAUUGUAAUAAAUAUUUUGAAUCACAACUAGUAAAGUACAGAAAUGGAAAUAUAAAUAAUAAAGUAAUUAAUUUUAAUGUACCUUUAGCAUAAUGACCUUACAAGAUAUACUCUUAUGUUAAAAUCCCGAAAUCCAAAUGAUCUGACUCUAUCCAGCUUAGAGCCCACUUAUAGAUGUUUCAUCAUCUUAAAUAGAGAUAAAGUUAGAGGCUACAUACCAAUCGCAUUGGAUAAUAUCUGGUUCUUAAAUAAAAUUAAAAUUAAAUCAAACAUAUUAUAUGUAAUGUAAAAAAGUAGAGGAUAAGCCCUACCUUUAUUAGCAUUAUAUUUUAUUAUUCUAAUAUAGGCUUAAAAACAGCCAAAUAUAAUACCUCAUCGUAAAACUAGUAAAUUUAUACUCAAUAAUCAAAAAUAUAAUUAAGAUAUUAUAUUAACUAUAAGCAAUAAAUAUAUUAUGUAAAGAUAAGUAUUAGUAAUAUUAAUAUAAACAAAUAAUCUAUGAAAAAGAAACUCGGCAAAUUGUUAUCUCGUCUGUUUAUCAAAAACAUUGC
rnacentral:rRNA from 1 species